rnacentral:rRNA from 1 species
CUGGCCAGAGACCGAUAGCGCACAAGUAGAGUGAUCGAAAGAUGAAAAGCACUUUGGAAAGAGAGUUAAAAAGUACGUGAAAUUGUUGAAAGGGAAGCGCUUGCAACCAGACUUGCUCGCGGUUGCUCAGCCGGUGUUCUCACCGGUGCACUCUUCCGCGAUCAGGCCAGCAUCGGUUUGGGCGGCUGGAUAAAGGCUUCGGGAAUGUGGCUCCUCUCGGGGAGUGUUAUAGCCCGGGGUGCAAUGCAGCCCGCCCGGAUCGAGGACCGCGCUUCGGCUAGGAUGCUGGCGUAAUGGUUGUAAGCGACCCGUCUUGAAACACGGACCAAGGAGUCUAACAUCUAUGCGAGUGUUUGGGUGUCAAACCCAUGCGCGUAAUGAAAGUGAACGGAGGUGGGAACCCUUAAGGGUGCACCAUCGACCGAUCCUGAUGUCUUCGGAUGGAUUUGAGUAAGAGCAUAGCUGUUGGGACCCGAAAGAUGGUGAACUAUGCCUGAAUAGGGUGAAGCCAGAGGAAACUCUGGUGGAGGCUCGCAGCGGUUCUGACGUGCAAAUCGAUCGUCAAAUUUGGGUAUAGGGGCGAAAGACUAAUCGAACCAUUAACUACUAGGUGGUUAAGAGGCCGCUGAGAGGGCGCGCCUAGUCCCGCUCUCCGGGGCGACAUUGUCAAAUUGCGGGGACGUCCUAAAGGCGCUGCUACCAAACAGGCGUGGAAACACGGUCUGUGGCCGGGGUAAUGACCUAGGGUAUGGUAAAAACGCAGCGCAUGAUCCCGCUCGUGGGUGAAAUGGAUAAUCCGCAGCCAAGUCCUACGUCUCGCGAGAGAUACGGAUGCAGUUCACAGACUACAUGGCAAUGGGUUCACCUCGUCGAGGUGGGCUUAAGAUAUAGUCGGGCCGCCCAGAGAUGGGUCUGGCGGGAUGAAGUCUCGAGGAUGUGAGAGGCAUCGGUCGACGAUGCGUCCGAGAGACUGGAGCCCGCCGGGAGCCGAUCGUCGUCGGUCGGA